GACUGCGUAGCUCAUUUGGAAGAGCAUUGGGCUAGUAUUCCAAAGGUCGUAGGUUCGAAUCCCGCCGUGGCCA
rnacentral:tRNA from 1 species